GGGCCCGCGCACCACAAGCUCAGCUACCUGGGCCGAGUGGUGCGAGAGAUCGUGGAGACAGAGCGCAUGUACGUGCAGGACCUGCGCAGCAUCGUGGAGGACUACCUCUUGAAGAUCAUUGACACACCCGGGCUGCUGAAGCCAGAACAGGUCAGCGCCCUCUUUGGGAACAUCGAAAACAUCUACGCACUGAACAGAGCCAAGAGUUUGAUAUCUACACCCAGUAUUGCAACAAUUACCCCAA
rnacentral:sRNA from 1 species